rnacentral:snRNA from 1 species
UUGCUUCAGCAGCACAUACAUUAAAAUUGGACUGAGACAGGGAAGGUUAGCAUGGCCCCUGCGCAAAGAUUGACAUGCAAACUCCUGAAGUGUUCUACACGUUA